AUUGAACGCUGGCGGCAGGCCUAACACAUGCAAGUCGAACGAGUGGCGGACGGGUGAGUAAUGUCUGGGAAACUGCCUGAUGGAGGGGGAUAACUACUGGAAACGGUAGCUAAUACCGCAUACCAUCGGAUGUGCCCAGAUGGGAUUAGCUUGUUGGUGGGGUAACGGCUCACCAAGGCGACGAUCCCUAGCUGGUCUGAGAGGAUGACCGUCAACACUGGAACUGAGACACGGUCCAGACUCCUACGGGAGGCAGCAGUGGGGAAGAUUGAACAAGGGGCGCAAGCCUGAUACAGCCAUGCCGCGUGUAUGAAGAAGGCCUUCGGUUUGUAAAGUACUUUCAGCGGGGAGGCGUUACCCGCAGAAGAAGCACCGGCUAACUCCGUGCCAGCAGCCGCGGUAAUAC
rnacentral:rRNA from 1 species